UUUUGUGUGUGAGGAAGAUGGAGGCUGGCCUGUCCGGCUUUAACAUCGAUGCCCCCCGUUGGGACCAGGGCACUUUCCUUGGGCGGGUGAAGCACUUCUUCAAUAUCACGGACCCCCGCACUGUCCUGGUACCAGAGCAGGAGCUGGACUGGGCCAAGAUUAUGGUCGAGAAGAGCAGGAUGGGAGUUGUGCCCCCAGGCACCCAAGUGGAGCAGCUGCUGUAUGCUAAAAAGCUGUAUGACUCGGCCUUCCACCCUGACACGGGGGAGAAGAUGAACGUCAUCGGGCGCAUGUCCUUCCAGGUCCCAGGCGGCAUGAUCAUCACGGGCUUCAUGCUCCAGUUCUACAGGACCAUGCGGGCGGUGGUCUUCUGGCAGUGGGUGAACCAGUCCUUCAAUGCCUUGGUCAACUACACCAACAGGAAUGCUGCUUCCCCCACAUCGGAGAGGCAGAUGGCCCUUUCCUACAUCACAGCCACAACCACUGCUGUGGCCACUGCUGUGGGGAUGAACAUGCUGACAAAGAGAGCUCCGCCCCUGGUGGGCCGCUGGGUGCCAUUUGCUGCUGUGGCAGCAGCUAAUUGUGUCAACAUACCCAUGAUGCGACAGCAGGAGCUCAUCCAGGGCAUCUGCGUGAAGGACAAGAAUCAUAAUGAGAUCGGCCACUCUCGGAGAGCAGCUGUUGUCGGCAUCACCCAAGUGGUUAUUUCUCGGAUCGCCAUGGCAGCCCCUGGCAUGAUCUUGCUGCCUGUCGUUAUGGAACAGCUGGAGAAACUGCGUUUCAUGAAGAAAGUCAAGGUGCUGCAUGGCCCAUUGCAGGUUGUGCUGUGUGGAUGCUUCCUCAUCUUCAUGGUGCCAGUGGCAUGUGGGCUUUUUCCACAGACAUGGUAUUGGCUGUUCAUUCCUCACUCUGUUUAAUGGACACUCUGUCCCUGUCCUCCCUGACCAGCCUGCUGUCCACGGAGACUGAGAGGGCUGGGAGGGCACAUGUGUCCGAGGACAAGACCCGCCAGUCUGAACUCUGGGCGGCUCAUAGCUGUGGGUGGAUAGUAACCUAAGCUCUCCAAGAAGCAGAGAGAUGAGCUUCCCCCGCCCUGUGGGAAAAGGGCUGCCUUGGAGAGCAGCAAAUUGCCAGUUUCCUCACUGGAACCAGAGCUCCAAAGCACCAUUAAGGCCAAGUAUGGAGAACC